rnacentral:rRNA from 1 species
GACGAACGCUGGCGGCGCGCCUAACACAUGCAAGUCGAACGGUGACGAGAGCUUCGGCUCUCUGAUCAGUGGCGGACGGGUGAGUAACGCGUGAGCAACCUGCCUAUCAGAGGGGGACAACAGUUGGAAACGACUGCUAAUACCGCAUAACAUCGUGAAGAGGCAUCUCUUUACGAUCAAAGAUUUAUCGCUGAUAGAUGGGCUCGCGUCUGAUUAGAUAGUUGGCGGGGUAACGGCCCACCAAGUCGACGAUCAGUAGCCGGACUGAGAGGUUGAACGGCCACAUUGGGACUGAGACACGGCCCAG